AUUGAACGCUGGCGGCAGGCCUAACACAUGCAAGUCGAACGAGUGGCGGACGGGUGAGUAAUGACUGGGAAACUGGCUGAUGGAGGGGGAUAACUACUGGAAACGGUAGCUAAUAACGCAUACCAUCGGAUGUGCCCAGAGUGGAUUAGCUAGUAGGUGGGGGAAAGGCUCACCUAGGCGACGAUCCCUAGCUGGCAUGAGAGGAUGACCAGCCACCCUGUAACUGAGCCACGGUCCAGACUCCGACGGGAGGCAGCAGUGGGGAAUAUUGCACAAUGGGCGCAAGCCUGAUGCAGCCAUGCCGCGUGUAUGAAGAAGGCCUUCGGGUUGUAAAGUCCUUUCAGCGGGGAGGCGUUACCCGCAGAAGAAGCACCGGCUAACUCCGUGCCAGCAGCCGCGGUAAUUC
rnacentral:rRNA from 1 species